rnacentral:rRNA from 1 species
AAUCAACGCUGGCGGCGUGCCUAACACAUGCAAGUCGAACGAGAAAGUGGAGCAGUCCAUGAGUAAAGUGGCGCACGGGUGAGUAACACGUGACUAACCUACCCUUGAGUGGGGGAUAACCUGGGGAAACCUUGGCUAAUACCGCAUAAUACCUAUGGGUCAAAGGAGCAAUUCGCUUAAGGAGGGGGUCGCGGCAGAUU